GACGAACGCUGGCGGCGUGCUUAACACAUGCAAGUCGAACGGAAAGGCCCUGCUUUUGUGGGGUGCUCGAGUGGCGAACGGGUGAGUAACACGUGAGUAACCUGCCCUUGACUUUGGGAUAACUUCAGGAAACUGGGGCUAAUAUCGGAUAGGAGCUCUUGCUGCACGGUGGGGGUUGGAAAGUUUCGGCGGUUGGGGCUAGACUCGCGGGUUAUCCGCUUGUUGGUGGGGUAGUGGCUUACCAAGGCUUCGACGGGUAGCCGGCCUGAGAGGUGGACCGGCCACAUUGGUACUGCGAUACGGCCCAGACUCGAACGGGAGGCAGCAGUGGGGAAUAUUGCACAAUGGGCGGAAGCCUGAUGCAGCAACGCCGCGUGCGGGAUGACGGCCUUCGGGUUGUAAACCACUUUCGCCUGUGACGAAGCGUGAGUGACGGUAAUGGGUAAAGAAGCACCGGCUAACUACGUG
rnacentral:rRNA from 1 species